UACGAAGGGGGCUAGCGUUGUUCGGAAUGACUGGGCGUAAAGGGCGCGUAGGCGGUUCACCAAGUUGGGGGUGAAAGCCCGGGGCUUAACCUCGGAAUUGCCUCCAAAACUGGUCGGCUUGAGUGUGGAAGAGGGUUGUGGAAUUCCCAGUGUAGAGGUGAAAUUCGUAGAUAUUGGGAAGAACACCAGUGGCGAAGGCGACAACCUGGUCCAUUACUGACGCUGAGGCGCGACAGCGUGGGGAGCAAACAGGAUUAGAUACCCUGGUAGUCCACGCCGUAAACGAUGAGUGCUGGAUGUUGGACGGUUGCCGUUCAGUGUCGAAGUUAACGCGAUAAGCACUCCGCCUGGGGAGUACGGCCGCAAGGUUGAA
rnacentral:rRNA from 1 species